AUGAACGCUGGCGGCGUGCCUAAUACAUGCAAGUCGAGCGAACAGACGAGGAGCUUGCUCCUCUGACGUUAGCGGCGGACGGGUGAGUAACACGUGGAUAACCUACCUAUAAGACUGGGAUAACUUCGGGAAACCGGAGCUAAUACCGGAUAAUAUAUUGAACCGCCUGGUUCAAUAGUGAAAGACGGUUUUGCUGUCACUUAUAGAUGGAUCCGCGCCGCAUUAGCUAGUUGGUAAGGUAACGGCUUACCAAGGCAACGAUGCGUAGCCGACCUGAGAGGGUGAUCGGCCACACUGGAACUGAGACACGGUCCAGACUCCUACGGGAGGCAGCAGUAGGGAAUCUUCCGCAAUGGGCGAAAGCCUGACGGAGCAACGCCGCGUGAGUGAUGAAGGUCUUCGGAUCGUAAAACUCUGUUAUUAGGGAAGAACAAAUGUGUAAGUAACUAUGCACGUCUUGACGGUGCCUAAUCAGAAAGCCACGGCUAACUACGUG
rnacentral:rRNA from 1 species